rnacentral:rRNA from 1 species
AAUUUUGGACAAUGGGCGCAAGCCUGAUCCAGCAAUGCCGCGUGCAGGAUGAAGGCCUUCGGGUUGUAAACUGCUUUUGUACGGAACGAAAAGCUCAGGGUUAAUACCCUGGGGUUAUGACGGUACCGUAAGCAUAAGCACCGGCUAACUAUGUGCCAGCCGCCGCGGUAAUACGUAGGGUGCGAGCGUUAAUCGGAAUUACUGGGCGUAAAGCGUGCGCAGGCGGUUUUGUAAGACAGAGGUGAAAACCCCGGGCUCAACCUGGGAACUGCAUUUGUGACUGCAAGGAUAGAGUACGGCAGAGAGGGAUGGAAUACCGCGUGUAGCAGUGAAAUGCGUAGAUAUGCGGAGGAACACCGAUGGCGAAGGCAAUCCCCUGGGCCUGUACUGACGCUCAUGCACGAAAGCGUGGGGAGCAAACAGG